AAGGAGCACCACGAGAAACACUCCAAUUGGUGGGGUGUGAGCCGUGAGGGGUUCUCGUCUGUAGUGGACGAGGGCCGGGUGCACAACAACAGGCAAUCGCCAGACACACUAUUGGGCCCUGAGACAACACUCGGCCGACUUCGGUUGAAGUGGUGUCCCUCCAUCUUGGUGGUGGGGUGUGGUGUUUGAGUAUUGGAUAGUGGUUGCGAGCAUCUAAAUGAACGCGUCGCCGGCAACGGUUACGUGUUCGUUUUGUGUAAUUUUUUCUUUUGGUUUUUGUG
rnacentral:rRNA from 1 species